rnacentral:rRNA from 1 species
GACGAACGCUGGCGGUGUGCUUCACACAUGCAAGUCGAACGAGGUAGCAAUACCUAGUGGCGGACGGGUGAGUAACACGUGGGUAAUCUGCCUUCGAGCGGGGGAGUAACAUUCCGAAAGGAGUGCUAAUACCGCAUAAGACCACGACCUCGAAAGAGGUUGAGGUAAAAGCUGGCCUCUAUAUAUAAGCUAGCACUUGAAGAUGAGCCCGCGGCGCAUCAGCUAGUUGGUGAGGUAAUGGCUCACCAAGGCUAAGACGCGUAGCUGGUCUGAGAGGAUGAUCAGCCACACUGGAACUGAGACACGGUCCAGACUCCUACGGGAGGCAGCAGUGGGGAAUCUUGCGCAAUGGGCGAAAGCCUGACGCAGCGACGCCGCGUGAGUGAUGAAGG